UACAGAGGUCUCAAGCGUUGUUCGGAUUCAUUGGGCGUAAAGGGUGCGUAGGCGGCGGGGCAAGUCGGAUGUGAAAUCUCAGGGCUCAACCCUGAAACUGCAUUCGAUACUGCCUUGCUCGAGGACUGGAGAGGAGAUUGGAAUUCACGGUGUAGCAGUGAAAUGCGUAGAUAUCGUGAGGAAGACCAGUGGCGAAGGCGGAUCUCUGGACAGUUCCUGACACUGAGACACGAAGGCCAGGGGAGCAAACGGG
rnacentral:rRNA from 1 species